GGGAACUACGAGCAUAAGCUUAAAACCCAAAGGACUUGGCGGUGCUUUAGACCCCCCUAGAGGAGCCUGUUCUAGAACCGAUAACCCCCGUUCGACCUCACCUUUUCUUGUUCUUCCCGUCUAUAUACCGCCGUCGUCAGCAUACCCUGUGAAGGAAACAUAGUAGGCAAAACUGGUAAAACCCAAAACGCCAGGUCGAGGUGUAGCAUACGAAAAGGAAAGAAAUGGGCUACAUUUCCUCUUACAGGAAAUACGAAUUGUGUCAUGAAACAACACAUGAAGGAGGAUUUAGCAGUAAGCAGAAAAC
rnacentral:rRNA from 1 species